AUACAUAUAAAAUAUUAGUUUCUUAAAUGUAUUAGUUCAUAUUGUAAAUAUUUAUCUAGAUCAUAGCAAUGCUAGAAUUUUUGUUGCAAAAAACUAUAAGUUGUUAAGUUUGAACUUCUUACCAACAAUUUAGUAUUAUUUCUGGUGCUCUUUUUAAAAGCUAAUAGGAUUAUCUAUUACACUUUUAUAAACCUACAUAAAUUAUAGAAUUCAUUUAUACCUUACCUUGCAACACUGAUACGAGUUUAUGUAUGUUUUUUGGUUGUCAAUGACAAAUGUGUCGGGAUCAAUAAUAUUGUAUUACUCAUCUCAGUGAGAGGACGUGGACUCAUAUAUGCCUCUGGAAAAUAUAAUAGAGAAACAACAAAAGUAAAAAUGUUGGUGACCUGGUGGCAAUUAUUAUAGAACAAACAAAGUAGUGGAUAAGAACAUAUACUAAUAAGUAAUAACUUCAUAGUUUGGACAAACUUUUUUUUUUUUUGUAAGGCAAAUUUUGGACAAACUUUCCGGGAAAAUAUUAUUAAUUAGAUUAGAAGGAGCUGCUAUUGGCACUAAGAUCAACAACUAAUCAUAUAAUACUACCAAAUGGUAUUUAUUUCAUAUAUGUAGUUUAUUUAUAACAAUGUCACGAAUUUAAUAUACUUUUUAGUUAAGUAGAUGUCCCUUCAAAUGAUAUACCACAAUCCAAAUCAAAUGUAGAAUAGUAAAAAUUGAAUUCUACUUAUUACAGGAUUUAAUAUAAAAUGUUUCUCGUAUAUUUACAUGGAAAUUUCCAUAUAUUUUAGGAGUUCACACCGUUUUCUCGAACUCUUCUUAUAUGAGUCUAUAAUCAGGAGACAAUGAAACAGUCAUUAGCACGUCUCAUAAUAUAUACAAGCUGAACUAGGAGAGAACAAUGUUUCAAAAACUAAUUGGCUUGAACUUGUAACAGUUCUCCUUUUCCCACACUGUCAUGUUUUACUAACGAAUUGAUGAAUUGACAUAAUUACAAUCAAAAUGUUGUCAGUUGGUUCCUUUGGUUUUUUUUUGAAACACAGUUGGUUCCUUUGGCUUUUUUUUUUUUGGAAACAAAGUUGGUUCCUUUGGCUUUAACAUAGAAUUAACUACAAAAAGCUCAUAACUUCACUUAAACCUAAAAUCAACCCCAAAACUAGUUGUUCAAUUAUUUCUCAAAAAAAAAAAACUAGUUCUUCAAUUAACUUAAAUGAAUUUGUCAGUUUAAUUAUAAUUCGGUGUUUUAGGUCGAUAUUUCGGCUGAAGUGCUGAUUAUACGUAACUAGUCAAUAAGUGGCGUCCUACCAUGUGACACAGAUUAAUAGCCUCAUCUAUAUUAGAAAUUUAGAAUACAACAUCAUUGUCCGUAAAAAAGGUUGAGGCACAAACGAGAUCUAUGCCCCUCGUUUAAAAAAGGUAAAAAAAACCCUAGACUCUCUCAGACACGGGGCUCGAGGCACAAACGAGAUCUAUGCCCCUCGGCGCCGGCAACGGCGUUUCUCGCCGGCGCUGGGCCUUAACGACGACGCUGCUCUUCUCCUUCACCAUCGUGUUCCUGAUUUCCUGCUCUGUUUUUUGGUUAUUCACUCGUGUCACUUGGAUGUUUGGAGGAAGGCGAUCCCGACAAAUGGUACGACGGAGAAGAGGACUCUUCGUUACGCUUCUUUCGGUGGUCCUUUCCUUCCGACAGGUCCUUCUCUUAGCGAUGAGUCGAGAGGGUUCUCUCACCGCCGCUGAGCUCUGGUCUUCGGGUUCAAACCCCGUCGUACCUCUCUCUGUUUGCUGUCAAGUCCAAGCCUUUAAAUGCUAUACGGAGCCGCGAUUUCAACUGACGAGAACAACCUCCUCGUCUCCGGGGAGGCUUGAGUCCCACAAACCACUGCGCGGUGCUCCUCUUCAUCAGACUGACGGCAGAUCUCGAAGCAUCACCAGUUCAGUUCCGAGUUACUUCGGUAUCAUUUCACUUCCUUCAUACCGAAAAGUGAUGCUCUCCUCACCUCCGUUAAUCAUCGACCGUGCUUCAUUUCCUCUCCGUCGGAGCUUUGCCGGCGACUUCGUAUCCUUCGUAUUCCGUGCCAGAAUGACAGCGUCUCCUGAGGUAUCAAUUGAUUAUGUUUGGGCCUGGCCCAUGUGUGUUUUUGAACCUGUCAGCCCAAGAUAUUGGAAAAGACCCAGAUAUGUAGAAGAAAGAGUUAUCCAACGAUUAAGAUUAGCUAGUGGUGGGGUCAGUUUGAGUUCCUGUGAUUUCAACAGGAUCUAUCCUUCUCGUAUUACACGAUCAUAUUUAUCCUUUGGGAAAGUUUUACCGGUGGGUUCACCGGGAUUGGUUAUCCUUCGUUCCUCCUCCUCGGUUUCAUUGUCGCUGCCGAGUGUUUGCUUCAGUUCCCUCAUCGGUUUGUCAUCUUGCGUAGCGAUCUCCACGGGAUCUGAAGAUGCAACCGAGACUACUUCGGUAGUUCUCGUAGAUGAGGUCUGGACCUCAACGUCACAUUCUGUGACUAUUUUCCAGUUGUCCGACUUUGUCGUGAAGGCUCACUCGACGCAUUCAAGCUUCGUCUCGAAUUCGCUGUCAUCUUCGGUUGAAGACUUAUCUUUCUUAGACUAUUUAUGUGGUGUAUGUUAUGUUUAUGGCCAAAGAGGAUGUAUAAUUCCCUCUUGUUAUUGUAGUGAAAAAGUUUGAUUAUGAAUGAAAGUAAGUUUGUGUUCAAAAAAAAAACAUCAUUGUCCGUAAAAAAUAACCUAUGUUGUUAACGUCUUUUACUUUUACAUAGUCCCCACGCCAAGCUCUAAUUCGAAAUGGCCAAGUACGGACCACCACUACCAGUAGAGCCAGAACCACCCACGAGCCUACGACUACGAUGACGACGACGAUCAGUUCCAUCGUAAUAAGGCUGAUCUUGCAACUGGGGGACACAGUUCUGCCACUGGUCAACGCUGCCGUUUUGAAACCGAGAGACUCCGUUUCCCCAGUGAUCAGCGACGCCGUUUUGGCAAUUCAUUUUCUUCUUGUACCCCGUGAUAAAUGUCUCCACCUUCAUACGAAACUCCUCGCUGCUCAGCUCAUCCAUCGCAUGCGACCUCCACGACGCCGUUUUCACCAGUACUCUCUCUGACUCCGUCCUUCGAUACUCCACCGUCGACCUCUUCUUCUUCUUCUCCAAACUCGUCGUCUUCCUAUAACUCUUAGAGCUCGUCUCCACCACUACUCGUUCAUAACAUUUACUCUCCUCAACCGUAUUAACCGCUUGACACGGUGGCACAGUCUUGUAGUAACUUGACUUAUUAUAAUAUUCACCACCGUAGUCUCCAACCUCCAUCAGGGCAGAAGACGUCUCCGGGGAGGAACGGACGACGGUGGGCACGGCGGCGAUAUAUUCAUCAUAGAGAUCUUGUUUCUUUUUUUCGGUGGUUUUGAGGAAGCUAAAGUAUAUCGCGCCUAUGAGAGCGUUUAGGAUGAUGAAGAUGAAGAAAACGUUUCUUAGAACCAAACGGAACCAACCGAACCAAAGGUCAACGCCGUCGAGUACAUUUAUAAUCGUCGGGUAACCACAGUAACCGGUGAAGGCUAGGACGGCUGAGACUUUGACAAUGAACAGAACAUUCUGUAAGCUAAACGUAUUGUCGUGUCCCUUAGUUGGCUCAUCGUUCUCCUUCUCCAUAGUUUGUUAGUAGGUGGAAGAAUUAUUGAAGGAAAUGUUAACGAUUUUCUAUAUGGGGAGAAGGAAAUGUUAUGUUGGAGAAAAGAGAUGCACUGAUGCUGAGACAGAUACGAUCGCUAGAGACUUGAGUGGUCCUUUUAUAGAGUGCUUUGAUAUAAAAAUUAACAUGGUUAAUUUAAAAUAUUUGCUUGGGCUUUUAAUUUUAUAAUAAUAUUGUCGACACUCAACCAAUAAUGUCUCAGUUAGCUUGUUUCUUUUGUUUUCUAGUUAAAUGAUAUGAAUUAUAAAAAUGUAGUCUGUGGAAUUAUUUUAGCACAUAAACUAAUGGUUGUUUGCUGUCUAUCUCAAUUAAGGUUUAUUAUGAUUUUAGCCAAUUAAAUUGGAUUGAAAACUCGCAGUUGCUACUAUAUAGAUAUUGUAUUAUGGUUCCAAUUCAACACAUCAUUGUCUUAAGAACUAUUUACAGUUCAGUAAUUUUUUUUUUAUAGAUUUUAGAUUGCAGGAUAUUACUCCAAAACUACUAUCACUGGCAUUGAUGGCUAGGUAGAUAUCUUGGUUUUAUUAAAAAAAAAAUUCCAAUUAUAUAUGCAUACACAUAUAUGAUUCGUAGCCAUCAUGUUCAAUUUAUAAAAAUGCCAUAUCCUAUUUAUAUAGCAAGUUCUCCGAUAUGAAAUGACACCCAACUGUGUUUCAAAAAAAAAAAGAAAAGGAAAAAAAGAAAAAAAGAAAUGACACCCAAAAUUUAAUGAACAUUUCACCAAAGUAAAUUUUAGAUUCGGGUGUAGAUAUUUUGCAUCAAGUAAUAAUGUAUCAAUGUAUCAUAUAGUGUUUUUUGGUAAACAAUGUAUCAUAUAGUUUUGAGUAUAUAUAAAGUAAUUACGUGACCUGUAACAAAUAUUUUCAAGUGUAUAGUAUACGUAGUUGAAGGACAUCAAUUAAUUGAUGGAGGGGUUGGUUAGCAUAUAUAAAGCGUAUAAGCUAUAAAGCAUAUGCAUACACUUGGAAGCACCUCGAACCAGACACGUGAAAUCACGCGCCGUCAAGGGGAGGAAACUAAGAACGAACGAACUUAUCCACACAAGAUGAUAGUAUCACACUCACGAGGGUCAUGGAAAUUGAAAGUGACCGAGAUCCGAGAAUCACGUGAGAUGGGAUGAGUCACGUGCUCAAAAGCAAUUUACAGUUUACUACACAUAAUAAAGAUGGAGAUGCUGUUUCAACAAAAAAAGUUUGAGAUUCAUGAAACAUUUUAUAAAGAGGUGCUCAAAAGAAACUACAGACAAAGACUGAGACUGGUUUAUUUAUGGUGCAGCAGAUCCAAACACUGUCUGAUUCUGUGGUCGCCAUCAAACAAUCUUUGUCAUAAUCACAACAUUUUUUAAUAUGAAAAAAAACCCACGAUAUCAGGGAAAUAAAUAGAUGUUUACAAAUGAAAAUCAAAGUAAUUAAUUAUUUGUACGGUUACAUGCAUGUUUGAUACAAAUUGUAAAGCUUAGCCAGGUUCCAGUUCUUGUUUGACCACCGUACAAUUUCGUUCCAACAACUCUGACUUAAAUAUAUAAUUCCGAUUUUUCUGAAGGCUAUAUAAUUUCGUUUUUGCACAGAAAGAAAAGACUUCCAUUAUUGCUGUGUUUGCAUCCAUGUUCAAAUGUAAUACUGUCUUGACUUUUGAUAUACAUACAAACUUCAAAUGUUUGUAUCUGGUGUGUCAUAGUGUCAUGGUAACAUGUCCGAACAAAUUAGACGUCAGAACUCUUUGAUAACAAAGUCUACAGUCAAAACUCCUACUGAUUUUCGGAUAGAGUUUGGAUAAAUAGUAGGCUGGGUGGGUUUCAUCCCGUUCACACUAUACUCUACACAAAAGACAGAUCUAGAGAAUGCGUUUCUCUAUAUAUAAAGAGCCUUUCAGCUUGUGAAUAUUAUUACCAUAUAACAAAAUUCCAUGGCUUCUUCUUACGCACGUUUGCUCUUGCUUUGCCUAUCCAUCUUCCUCAUCGCUUCCACUGAGGUGAUGAUGGUGGAAGGAAGAGUUUGCCAGAGGAGAAGCAAGACAUGGACAGGGUUUUGUGGCAACACUCGCGGCUGUGACAGUCAGUGUAAGAGAUGGGAACGGGCUUCACACGGGGCUUGUCACGCUCAGUUCCCGGGGUUCGCAUGUUUUUGCUACUUCAACUGCUGAAGCAAGCAAAAAGUUCUCUGAAUCUUCUUCAAGUGUCACGGUGUUAUCUUCUUUUGUUCUGUUGCGAAUCAUGUACAUAGUCUCUAUGACAAAACCAUAACGUUUACCUUGGGUCCUAAUAAAAUCCCGUUUGUGCCGGGAGUUACCACUACAUGUCUAUUGUCUAGUGAAGUUGUGAUAAAAACUAUAAUAAGAGGUUGUCUCGCAGUUUUGUUUAUC